rnacentral:tRNA from 1 species
GUGGCUAUAGCUCAGCGGCAGAGCACCAGGUUGUGGCCCUGGGGGCCGUGGGUUCAAAUCCCACUAGCCACCCCA